GACGAACGCUGGCGGCGUGCUUAAUACAUGCAAGUCGAACGCAGUGGGGACGGGUGAGUAACACGUGGGUAACCUCCCAUCAGAGGGGAUAACACUUGGAAACAGGUGCUAAACCGAUACUGAUGGAUGGACGCGCGGUGCAAUAGCUAGGUGGUGAGGUAACGGCUCACCAAGGCCACGAUGCAUAGCCGGCCUGAGAGGCUGACCAGCCACACUGGGACUGAGACACGGCCCAGACUCCUACGGGAGGCAGCAGUGGGGAAUCUUCGGCAAUGGACGAAAGUCUGACCGAGCAACGCCGCGUGAGUGAAGAAGGUUUUCGGAUCGUAAAACUCUGUUGUUAGAGAAGCGGUAUCUAACCAGAAAGCCACGGCUAACUACGUGCCAGCAGCCGCGGUAAUUC
rnacentral:rRNA from 1 species